rnacentral:lncRNA from 1 species
GGGCACUUUGGACAGGCAGGGUGGUCUGGGGAGACGGGUGUGUGCAGGGCAGCCUCAGAAGCCGCCAUCAAAGGGACCUAGCAGACGUGGCGCCAGGCAAGCGCCAUAGUGGGCACGGAAGGGCUGGCGGUCAGUCUGUUCCUCUCCCAGGGAUGGCGGGGAGGGGGAGGCCCCAUGGACACAUGUGCUCAGGGUGACCAGCCAUCAGGGGUUGCCUGGGAUGAAGGGGUUUCCUGGGACGUGGAGCUUUCAGUGCUAAAACAGAGAGUCCCCUGUUAUUGGAACUUCCUGGACCUUCGGAAAGGAUACAGUGACUGACCUCUCUGGUCUGGGCAGCCUCCUCCCUGUCCGGUGACCUCUGAGUCAGACCAUCUCGGCCAGACCUGCCCAGGGCCAUUUUGUCCACCCCCUGCCUCCACACAGGCCUGCCUCAUACCCAAGAGUCCACUUUCCAUUUCUCCCAGGCAUCUUCAGGGGAGGAGCUGCCGGCCAACUCCAACCACUGCUAGGGGGACCUCGGCCAGACCCACACCACGCUCCCAGCCCUCCCUGUGGCUCCCGAGCCAGCUCAUACUUUCCUGCUUCCACACCUUUGCCCAGGACGUUCCUUCUGCCUGGAACAUCCUUUCCCUGUCUUUGUUACCUCUUUACCCUUAGGGACCCAGUUUCCAAGUCACUCCUCCAGAGGACUUGUUCUCUCUUUCCCAAGGCUGGGCUAGUACCCCUCUUUGAACUCACAGCCCUGGUUCUUCUCCCAAAAAACCUUUGUCACGCCCCAGGGCAAUUUUCUGUUGACCCAUCUUUUUCUACACCAGAUGGUGAGCUCUUAGGAUGGAGAUCCUGACCCAGUUUCCCCCGGGCUCCCAGUACAAGGCCAUGCUCAUGGUGUUCAUCAAAUGGAAAAUGCUUAUUGAGCAACUACUCUGUGCCAGGCAUCAUGCUCCUUUAAUUCUCUCCAUAGCUCUGCAAGGUUGGUGUAACCCCUACAGAUGAGGAAACCAGAGACAGAGAAGUGAAGUAACUCAUGCAGGUGACGGCAGAGGGCAGAGUCAGGACUUGAACCUGGAGAGCCUGGCUCUAAAGCCCAAGCUGGAAUCUCGAUACUCUACACCUCGAUAAGUUUUUGGGAAAUGACUGACUAAACAGAUGAACGCGUUUGCCCCCCCGCCGCCCCAGAGCCCCCUUAAAGCCUACAUGUGGCAGUUUGGGCCCAUUUCCUUGGCUUCCCUCCCUGGAGGGGCACCCACUGCCAGUGUCCCUGGUGAGUGUUUGCCUGUGGGGGUACAAGUGAGGGUUCAGCAAAGGUGACCUGGUGUGAGGGGGGGGUGCCCCAGGGGGUGCAGAGGAGGGCCUCAUGAGGCAGAUUCAGAAUGAAGGUUCUGGCCCCCAGUGGAACCGUGCAUGGGCAAGGGGUCCUCAGGGCCAUUGGCCCAUAAUUGUCAGACGGGGAAACUGAGGCCCAGAGAGAGGAAGGGACUUGUCCUUAGUUACACAGAGUGUCUGGAUCACAGCUCUUAGGUCUCAGCUUCCCCAUUUGUCACACAGGGAGAAUAAAUCCCCCUUGUCCUGCCUGGGGGUAGACCCCAGGGGGCCCCUGUGCCCUCUCACACCUUCCAUUCCAGCUUCUAGAAUUCCACCAUCCAUGCACCAGCCCUGAGGGUAGGCGUUGCCCUCUUCUCACCUCCUGCUCACGCCUCUACUGCAGGAUGGGAACCAAAUGCCUCUCCACCCUUUUCCCACACCCCUUCUCUCCACAGUGAACUGAGGGGAGUUUCUGAUCCCUUAGCUCAAAGUCAGAGAAACUGAGAGGGGAGGGCUGGGUGGGAGCCGUGGGAAUGUCAUGCACAAGCAGUCGGACUCUCCAGGGGUCUGGAUCUCUCCCUUGCUGCCUUGAAGGCCCCUGCACAGGCUGUGGCACUGGCUGAGUACAGGUGCCUGAAGGCAGAGGCAUGGAUGGGAUGCUUCAUUCUCAGCCUGUUUUUGCCAGUGAAGACAAAAGGGAAGUCAUCUUCCGUUGGUCUAUGGGGACCCUGAGGUAGUAGGAGCUCGGUGAUAAUUCUAGGGACCACCCUGGGUUGUCAGGUGGGGGAGACAGAGAAGCCCACAUAGGAGGCACCAAAUGCAACUCACUCGUGCCCUUUUACUCAUGAGAGAACACGGAUCCAGAGAUGUCAAGUGACUCAGACACAGUCUCACAGCACACAGGCGGCAGAGGCAGGUAGGGGACUGGGCUUCCCUGGCAGCAGUCCCCAAGCCUGCCUGAGAGGCACAUCAGAAUCGCUUUAGGGGAUUUGCAAAACCACACCUGCCCAGGCCCAAACCCUAGAGAUUCUGAUUCCGCAGUCUGAGGUAGGAAUGGAGAAUCCUCCACAGCCUGAGGUAGGAACUGGGAAUCCAGUGUUUAAAACUCUCUAGGGGCGGUGAUUUCAGAAAACCUGCUGGCUCCAUCACACUUUGCUCAGGGACUGAGAUGGGAUGGCAUUUGGAAGACACAGCUGAAAUUUAGCAUCAUAUUCCAUGGCGAUUUUCCACCAGUGGAAAUCACAGGUGUUCUCUGGUAUCACAGCGGGGUCAGGGAUGACCUGAAAUAUUGUUCAUGCUCAUCACAACUGCAUGGCCCACCGCGGGGUCUUGUCACUCAGUGAGUUCUUGAAGAGGCACAGACAAAUGGAGUUCAACAAAUGGAAAACAACUGCCUUUAAUUAGCUCCGAGGACUACAAAGGGAACAACGUUAUAAUAGCAGCAACUCCAAGGAAGCAGCCACAGCUCUCAGCUCUCAGACCUGGGGCUGCCGCUCAUCAUCAGCUACAGCUAGGUUUGAUGGGAGUGCCCCCAUUUCAGGGGACAGCAGGCCCCCUUCACUCCCCGACUCAGUCCCCAUCUGCAGCAGCACAGCCUUCCUUGGCCUCACCAGGGAAGAAGAACAGGCCCCGCUCUCAGACAAGCCUUCCCAGAAGCCUGAGGACUCAAACACCCAAAUGUGUCUGGGUCCCUGCCCCGAGCCGGCCACCCAGGCAGCAGCCCUGAAUCACUCGGUCAGCCAGCGGCAGGGCAGGCCAAUGGGCUGGAGGGUAGGCAGGCAGGCAGACCCACCUCUGCAUCUCUGCUGACUGCCUCGGCUGAGGAAAGGCAGCACCAGCCCCCAACCCUGAAGUUCUAGAUCUCAUGCAGCCUCUCUGUUCUGGAACCAUCCAGAGGCACUGCCCUUAUACAUGGUCCACCCCCAGGCUCAGACAAUGAGAAUUCCACAAGCAGAGGGGACUCUAUUUGGGGCACAGAGAGGUUAAGUAACUCCCCUCCUAAGGUCUCUCAGCAAGGAAGCCACUGAGCCGUGGGACUUGAGCUCAGGGACUCUUGAUCCCCAGUCUCAGGUGUCACAGCCCCAUCUGGGCUCCUGCUAGGGAGGAGGAAGGCAGCAGGGGGUGUCUGAGGCCAGGGUGCAUCAGCCCUAAAUGCCAGACAGAGGCAGGAGAAGUCUCCCCAUGAGUCCCAGCCCCAUUAGAGGCUCCAGGUCGGGGAUCCCAGACCCCCUAUCCUUGCUGGGAGACACAACCCAGAACUCUGCAUCCCUGCAGCCACCAAAAAAGGCAAAAGCUGCCCAGAAACACUUUCUCCUCUUCCGUGGCCAAAUCCACGAACUUUCUCGAGGUCUGUCCCCCUGCCCCGUGCAGGUCCAGCUUCAGUGCAGCCCAGCUCUGUGCAGUUUUCCACAAAAGCCUGUGGCUUCCUUCUCCUCCCUCUGCUUCUGAUACCCCAGGAGUUACACACAAAAUGUUGGCGGUGGUCUCCAGGAAGACCCCUGCAUCCCACAGCUCUCCCCAGAAGUUGCCAGCAGUGACCUCCUGAGCCCAGGUGGGGAGUCCCAGGCAGGACAGGGGCUGGGGCUGCAGGCCCUGGGGCCCUGUUAGUGAAGCAGCAAGCCGAGGGUCCCUGAGAGUUUCCCUUGGCCCCUCUGAGGGCUGCCCUUUGAGGUCUUGAGGUCUUGGAGUAUCCAUCGCCCCCACGGCUUACUGUCCCCACCAGCGGAGGAUGAAAGUGCCACAGCGAUGUUCCACGCCAAGAGACCACAGAGACCACCAACCCCUCUUCCCACCUCAGGCUUUCAGAGGCCAGCGGAUUUAGGCGGACAGGCUGUGCGCUUGAGGGCAGCCAGGGCGGUCAGUGGAGGGACGUGGUCCGGGGCCUGGCCACAGCUCCCCACCCAGGGCCCUGGGCUAUUGUUACUCACCGCGGAUGAAGGUCGGCGAGUAGGUCGGGAAGGAGUCGAAGAUGCUGUUCGAUGCCAUGCCCCGCUCUGAAGAAG